rnacentral:rRNA from 1 species
UACGGAGGAUGCAAGCGUUAUCCGGAUUCAUUGGGUUUAAAGGGUGCGUAGGCGGACUAUCAAGUCAGUGGUGAAAGCCUGCAGCUUAACUGCAGAACUGCCAUUGAUACUGAUAGUCUUGAGUUUGGUUAAGGUAGGCGGAAUGUGUAAUGUAGCGGUGAAAUGCUUAGAUAUUACACAGAACACCAAUUGCGUAGGCAGCUUACUGAGCCGACACUGACGCUGAGGCACGAAAGCGUGGGGAUCGAACA